CAUCCAUGCUAAACACAACUAAACGAUGGUCUGGAACUGGUUCCAAUGACAAUAAGUACAAAGCAGCGCAGUCUCCAACAUGGUUAAUAUUUAUCUUCACACUACAGGAAAAUACCCUUUUAUGGGCUUUUCUUAGCAUCUGCCCCUCUAUCUGCAUUAUAAAACUUUUUGAAUAGGAAGAUUUUGUUUCAUUUAAACAACAGGAAUAAAAGAUUCAAACACUAGGUUAGUUGCAUCCAGCUAAUGGAAUCUUGUUUCUGAUAAACAAAUGAUGCAAGAGGAGCAGCCUCUUCAGGUUGCAAGAUGCACAAAAAUAAUAAACCAGAAUUCUGAGGAAGCAAAGUAUGUAAUAAAUGUUAAGCAAAUUGCCAAGUUUCACCAACAGAUAUUGAAGAAGGCAUGCGUGUCAGGUAAGUUCAAUUUUUGACUCUAUAUAUAGUUUCCAUUAUUUAUUUCUUUGACUUU